rnacentral:rRNA from 1 species
UACGAAGGGGGCGAGCGUUGUUCGGAAUCACUGGGCGUAAAGGGCGCGUAGGCGGUUCAUACAGUCAGAUGUGAAAUUCCUGGGCUCAACCUGGGGGCUGCAUUUGAUACGUGUGGACUAGAGUGGGGAAGAGGGUCGUGGAAUUCCCAGUGUAGAGGUGAAAUUCGUAGAUAUUGGGAAGAACACCGGUGGCGAAGGCGGCUCACUGGCUCAUUACUGACGCUCAGGCGCGAUAGCGUGGGGAUCAAACAGG